CCUACGGGUGGCAGCAGUAGGGAAUAUUGCUCAAUGGGGGAAACCCUGAAGCAGCAACGCCGCGUGGAUGAUGAAGGUUUUCGGAUUGUAAACUCCUUUUGUUAGAGAAGAUAAUGACGGUAUCUAACGAAUAAGCACCGGCUAACUCCGUGCCAGCAGCCGCGGUAAUACGGAGGGUGCCAGCGUUAUUCGGAAUCACUGGGCGUAAAGAGCGCGUAGGCGGGAUAGCAAGUCAGAUGUGAAAUCCUAUGGCUUAACCAUAGAACUGCAUUUGAAACUGUUAUUCUAGAGUAUGGGAGAGGUAAGUGGAAUUCUUGGUGUAGGGGUAAAAUGCGUAGAGAUCAAGAGGAAUACUCGUUGCGAAGGCGACCUGCUAGAACAUAACUGACGCUGAUGCGCGAAAGCGUGGGGAGCAAACAGGAUGAGAUACCCUAGUAGUC
rnacentral:rRNA from 1 species